GGCUUCCUCCUCCCCCACAGCCCCAGUGUCUUUAGUUCCAUCUCUUCACAGUUCCUCCACUUUCAUUUUUCCACACGAAAGAAAAGGUCUUGGAGAGGACUCCGACCAGGACUAAGGUCCUGGCAGCUUGCAGAAGGCAUUUGAAGUUAAAGUUGCUUUCUUCCCACCUCUUCUCCCCUUCUGUUUCCUUCCUUCAGAAAAUUAUCUACUCUGAUUUGGGAUUCAGUUUUAUGAAUGGAAGAAGGUACAGCAGAUGAAUCCGGGAAGCUGAGGGACUGGAGCAGAUCAUUGGGCAACACUAGUUAAAAACAGGAGACUUCAGGACAUUUAUGGCUUCCUGACCGAGUUCCUUGUAAGUCAGACAAGUCUGAUACAGGCUUCCAGGUUUCCCUCCCUUGCGUACACUAUUGCUGAGCAUCCAACAUGGGGACGAUGCUCACAAAGAACAGCCCUGGUUUGGUCGUCUGGAGAAUCAAAGAGCUGAGCGGGGAAAAAACCGUGAGUCCCAUAGACGGCGGACUGGUGGGACUUCACCAGAUAAAACACAAGCAGUCAUUCACACCCAUCACGUGGAAGUUCACGUGUGUCAGAUUACCCAAAACAAGAAUGAAGCCCAGGUGAUGGUACUACCUAAUGUGAUGGAAUCACUGAGACCAGAGAAGACCUCCACAGAGGGUGUUGAGAUUCAAUCCAUUCUAGGUAUUCCAGAGGUUGUUUCUGGAUCCUGGUGACUGAAACAUCUGCAAAUGUUGCUGAUCCUGUUGGAGAGAUCACAGUAGGGAUUGAGGUUCAACGUACUGGGCUAGAUUUACAGUGUGAGGAUGAAGCGCCUUCUGAGGCAUGUAAGAUGGAUGUUGUAGGACAAGAUUUUGGUAGCAUCCCUGAGAACAGUAAAGAAUCUUCUGUUCUGGAGACUCCAUUGCACUCUACCAUGGUGUCUGAAGAAGAUGUCCCUCUGAAGGUCCCUGACAUUGUGAGUCCAGUGUGCAAGAAGGAAGGUGCAUUGUGGGAAGCAACGGAAGACCCUCAUUCCCCUCUUAACACUUCUGCUGAGGACGAACCAACUCCAGAUGGCCAGAAGGUUUCUGGUGAAAUGGAGCUUAAGCUUGAUCCAGAGAUGCAAGUAAGGGUUGCUGAACAUGACACAGUUGUGCAAAGUCAAGUUCAUGAUGCGUCCUCUUAAGAGGCCCUGGGGACAGCUGAAAAUCAUCCCAACUUACCAUCCGCAGAUACAUCAGCUGGCCCAGUAUCAAGGCACCUCAAGGAACAAGGAGAGUGACUUGAGACACCGCAGCGUGAACAUCCCAUAGCAAAGACCAAGUCCUGUUCAUAGAGCCCAGCUUUGCGUUGCAGAAAUGAGAAUCUCAAAAUGUAACAACUUCCAUUUUAUUGCUUCUGUGGAAUCCACAGGGAUCCGAUUCCCCUGUUGAAAAGAAGUCCGUAAUUUUUAGUCCGUGGCAGCUGAAACAAGCUUUCUCCAAAAAUGAAAUUGUAUCACUGGUAGAGAAAACCUGUGGUGUAUCUAGAAGGGUUCUUUGUAUUUUCUGUUCACUGCAUUCUCUCAGACUGUUCACUCUGGCUAUGGAAAGUAAUUGAUCACUAGGUGGCAUAGAACUAAAUUAUCUUAAUCACUGUUAUUUAAUAUAUUCCACUUGAGCUCACUUGGACUGACUCACUUACCUGCUUGUGUUAAUCCUUGCAAGGGUCAUGGUCUUGAGUUUAAAUUAAUCAAUGGGACAAUCCUCAGAGUUCUAUAGUGCUUAUAGAACUGCAAUGAUGAACUAUGGUACUUUUAAAACAGUGUCAAUAAAGACAGUCUUGUUUUACAUUA